AUGAUUAAUUUUCAUUUAUGUAUGAAUUCCUCAUAAAUUUCAACGUUAAAAGUUUAAAAUUCAGUAUUAAAAACUAAUUGGGACAAUUGAGUAACAAAUUAAAUUUUUCACUGGCAAUAACUUCAAAAUGCUUAACAUCCAAAUGUAAAUGUGUAGAUUAUAAAACGUUUUAAGCCUCGGAAUCGAUAUCAUAUUCACAAUUUGUCCAGCUGAAGUAAUUAAAAUCUUAAAAUUUUUACAUUUUCGAAAUUUCUUGUGAAUAUGUAUGUUUUAAGAAUGACAUGCUAAUUUCCCAUUUUGCAAAUAUUAUUGUUAAUUUUAGGUACACACGACUUACUUACGUACUCAAAAAUAUACCGAACGAAGCGAAUUUUAGUGAUAAAAAUCUGCACAAUAUGAAAUUGCAGUCAACUUCGUCAGGGGAAGGGAGGAACUUUCCAAAUUUUGAAGCACGUGUCAACGCUAACAACGCCAUCUCGAAAGCUAUAAGAAAUCCAUUGAUCCUCGACGCCGUCUUCGCCAACCUUGACCUCCCCGACUUGAAGACGUCCCGUCUCGUCUGCUAUGACUGGGCCGACGUCGCGUCCACCUUACUAGGAAAAUGCGCUUAUCUCCACGUCAACAAGCUUUUUUCCUACAAGCCGUCCAAGUUCGACGAGGUGCCCCCCGUUUCCGACAAAUUGAUGCGACGCCUCCUCAUCUCCGACAAGUUCGACCGAUCAAUCCGAUCGAAGAAGAAAAAGAGCGAGGUUAUCACAAAAGCGAUCACCGAACUUCCGAAAUUGUUCGAAUUGAUCCGCGAAAUCAAACUUGUCACCCCCAAGAAGGAAUUUGUCUUCGUCUUCCUGAGAGGAAUGAUUUCGUUGGGGACCACCAAGGUCCAACGGGUAGAUAUCCUCAGCGCCUGGAAAGGCGAUAAGGUAUACACGAUUCCAGCCUAUGGAAAACUCUCCCCGCAACCCAACCUUACUUCCCUGAGGUUCCACGUGGUUUGUGAGUUUCGAUUUAUUGGUAUCACCGGGUACGAGGAAUUUCAACCCGUUAUCCAAAUCUGGACCGAUUCAGCCCCCAAUUUGACCACCUUGGACAUAGCGGCGCCCCUAUAUCCAAAUUUGGAGGGUUGCAAAAGCCUCAAAGUUCUGAAACUUAGGUGCCUAACGCGUUUUAUGCAUUGUCCUCCUAGCCUUAGUUUGGGCAAGCUGACGGACAUGCUGGGACAGGUGAAGGAUUCUUUGAUCGAGCUGGAAUUGUACGUCCGGGCUUCUACGCUAGAGAUGGAACCCGUCAAGGGAGGACCUGUCAUGUCGAAACUUACCACGCUCUCAAUCCAUGCCACUAAUUCGUACCGAAUUCUGAACUUUUUUGGCGAAGACCACUUUCCAAAGCUAAAAACUCUCCGGGUCCACAGCUGUUAUGGAGAUUUGUCUUUCUUUUCCUUCUUAAAUUUAUGGAGGCGGCAUAGAGGAGUUAAGUCUCUCUCAUUGACCCUGGAUUUCAUCGAGUCGGGGGAGGAAUUCGGGGGACAAGUGGUUAACUUAUUUCCUGCCGUGAAGGAAUUCAGGUUGAAUAUGAAUAUGAAGAACGUACAACUUAAUUCCAAUCUUACCAUCAACCGAAUUUUCGAACCGUUCCAAACGUUAGAUUUAGAACGGGUUAACAUUCUCGUGGAUGGGCUGAAUCAAUCCACCGUGGUGAUUAAUGUCCUUAAAGCGAUGUCCGCUUUGAAAGGUAAGAGUAUUUGGGUCAAUGGGAAACGUCCAUAUAUUACGGGAUUUUUAAACCACCCUGUACUUAUCCUCCACAUGUUACAUAAGCUUAAGGGUCAGAUAGACGACCAAUGUAAAACCAUCCACACAUCUUUUUGGAUACGUAAUAUAUGCAUUGUAUUGUACCUUUAUGGCAUAUAUAGCCACUAGCUUUUGCAAGUCACAAUCAUAUAGUUACUAAAUAGUUACUAAGAUAUUUAGGAUAGCAAAAUUUUUAUGUUACAAUAAUAGUGAUAGUAGACAGGGGAGUACGGGGAAAACCAGAAUAUGGUGGCCGGUCUGGAAAACUUCUGCUUGAACUGGGAAGGAUGCCUAGAUCACCAUUCGCCCCUGAACACUUGAGAACUCAGGCUCGACUAAGGAAUGACAUAGAUUACUUAGAGGCGAUCUGUAUACUGGGGAAAAAUGGUUCCAUCCAAUUGAGUAGGCGCCGUGCCGGUGGGGGCACGACGGGUUUUAGGCUGGAGCGGAGCAUCCAUGGACCACAAACUAACCAAUGACCCAUUCAGGGUUCGGCCUAAGUGACCCCAUAAAGGGACCAUGAAACACCCCAAAAACUAACCCUCCCAUCGCAGGGUAUGAACAAGUCAUGGGAACCCGGUAGACCUACCCCAGCCGCUCCCACCAGCACAGCGCGCACUCAAUUUUUCGUCAGCCACCCCUACAUGCUAACCACCCCAAUAUAUCACUCAGAAGCCUUGCCUGGGUAAGUCCUCCAGGGCGUUGAUCCUACUGUGCACUGGGCGAAAUUGACUGAUGGCUCAGCUUGUCAUUGCUAAGACGGGUGCGGCAUGAGGUGAGCGAAACACACUUUAUUUGCCCUGGCACACCCGCGACCCAGAUGGAAGAGGAUCCAGUUGCAGAGCGAGAGAGAAAUACGUGGUGCACAGGAGGGAGCCAAAGAGAAGCUCUACGUAAUAUAUGUAACGUACCCCAAUUUAAAAUCAACCUAUAAAUAACUAGAUACUUAUUAUCGCAGUAUUAGGGAUUUGGUAUAGUUAGGGAGAUAUUGAUUUAUCGGUAUUAAGCUUGGUAUUAAAAUUUUACCGGUCCGUAAGCAUUUAUUACACAUAUGGUAAAACUGUAAAACCGAGAUAUUAUUGCGCAAUGUCAGUUAUCAAUCAAUAUCUGAUCAUGUUAAAAUAAUCACUUUUUUCACAAAAAUUUUUUUAAUACAAAAAUCACCUUUCAUUACAUAGUUAAUCAGUUAAAAUCAGUGCAUAAUUAUUUAACUGAUUGUAAUAUCUAUUAAUUAUUCCAGGAAUUAAAAGUGUUCGGUUCUUGAACACUAACAUCGUGGAGAGUGAGUUUUCUCCCCGGAUUCACGGUCUCAUCUUGCUCAGUAGAGGAUUUAAGAGGGUAGAAAUCUCGGGGCACGAGGACCCGGAAAUCUUGGAACGAAUGCGACCC